rnacentral:lncRNA from 1 species
GGGAGAAGCUGCAGAGCUGGGUUGUGGAGGGCGGGGGUGGGGGGCACAGGUCCACCAAACUCAGGCCCAAGGGCAGGAUUUUUCUGAAUCUGAUAGCCAGUGAUUCUCAUAUGAGGUGGUUUCUAUAAUACCACAGGGCACUGCUUGACCAGUUCUCUCUCAUACACAUGCACACACACACACACACAUACACAUACAAAAACAUGCUAUGCCAUGCCUCAAAUACGAGGUCUUCAGAAAGGGCACUAGGGUAGAUCUUCCUGAGGAUUUAAUGUUGUGCUUCCAAAUGUGAUAAAAAAUAAAAGCCAUAUGGAGACCAUGUUUUAUUUAUUUAUUUUCAAAAAUAUUUAUUUUUAUAUUUUUGACAGAGUUACAGAGAGAGGUAGAGACACAGAGAGAGGUCUUCCAUCCGAUGGUUCACUCCCCAGGUGGCUGCAAUGGCCGGCACUGGUCGGAUUCGAAGCCAGGAGCCAGGAGCUUCUUCCAGGUCUGCCACACGGGUGCAGGAGCCCAAGGACUUGGGCUAUCUUCUACUGCUUUCCCAGGCCACAGCAGAGAGAUGGAUUGGAAAUGGAGCAGCCGGGACAUGAACCUGCGCCCAUAUGGGAUGCCGGCGCUUCAGGCUAGGACGUUAACCCACUGCGCCACAGUGCCGGCCCCAGAAAUAAAUAAAAUCUUAAAAAAAAGAAACUGACAUUUAGCCAACUAAGUGACAUAAGCCCUAAAGUUCAAAGGCCUUGAUGGAAAAACCAAAUUUUACCCCAAGCAUUAGCAAAGCAAACAUGGCUCAUAAAAGCUUCUGGAGGGUCAGUUGUCAGAGGCUCUUUCCCUACCUGGGUUACCCUGGGCAGUCGGGAGGCUGGCUUCAGACAGAGCCCUCCCUGCCUCAGCCUCACAGCUCAUCUUGCAAAGCAGACUGCUCCUCUGCCCACAGACAACAGAAACCAGGAGAGCCCGGCACAUCCUGGACCAGGCAGACACAGGAGUCCCUCAGACAGGUGCCACCAUCUCCUCCAAAAUUCUUCCAGACCUUCUUCAUGUUCCUCCAAGUUGGAAGUUGAAAGUUCUCUAGGAAGUUCUAUUUUCUCAUUUCUCCUUUCAUAUUUUUGUCCUACUGCAUGCACUUUUUAGUACUGUGGUUCCUACUCCUCACUGUGCCAUUACGUGCAGAGAUUUGAAAAGUUCAAAUGCUGAGCCCAACUCCAGAGCAUAUGAAGAAGCGUCAUGGAUGAUGGGACCAUACUGAUGUGUGGCAAUCAGUAGUGGUGAAGACCACGGCACCAGCUGGAAACUCCUUGAGACU